ensembl:lncRNA
GAAUCAUGUGUAAGAAUCACAUUUGGAAAUAAACGAAUCAUGUAUAAGAGUCACACAUUGGAAAUGAGCAAAUCAUGUAUAAGAGUCACAUUUGGAAAUAAGCAAAUCAUGUAUAAGAGUCACAUUUGGAAAUAAACGAAUCGUGCAAGAAUCACAUACGGAACUAAACGAAUCAUGUAUAAGAGUCAUGUGGAAAUAAACGAAUCAUGUGCAAGAAUCACAUUUGGAAAUAAACGAAUCAUGUAUAAGAGUCAUGUGGAAAUAAAAGAAUCAUGUAUAAGAAUCAUGUGGAAAUAACUGAGUCAUGUGCAAGAAUCACAUUUGGAAAUGAAGGAAUCAUGUAUAAGAAUGACAUGCGGAAACAACUGAACCAUGUAUAAUUACAUUCCAGCUUGUUCAAGAACUUCCGCUAUGUCAGCGUUACACGCUUUAUCAGACUCGACAUCGAAAGUGAAGGGGACAGCAGGAAAUAAAAAGCACAGACAGAAAUAAAAAAAAGCUUUAACGAGCUGAUGCAUGGGUGGAAAGGAGGAAGUGAAAUAAAAUGAAAAGGAAGUGAGUACAUUUGUGGUCUACUCAGAUCACGCAAGUGCACGGGGUGAAGAAUGUUCAAAAUAAUUUAUUUAAAAAAAUAAAUACAUAAAUAAAAGCUGAGGUGGUUUCUCGGAUGAACGGCCUCCGAAACGAUAACGCAAGGAAAAGUACUACAGAGAAAAGCCAAGGCAAAGAAACCCAGCGGAAGCAGAAGCGCUCGUUUUAUUAUUCUUUACAGCCUGGACAGUCUGCUUUUAGAGAAUCAUUCGUAUACCGAUUGUUUGAACCCGGGGAAAAAAGUACAAUUUUAGAAGAACAAUCGCGGGGUUCAAAACUAAAAGUGUAAACUCCUAACAAAAUCAAAAUGAUAAUUUAUAUAUAGCACACAUCAUAGUCACAAAAUCAACCUCCCUCAAAGCUCCUCAAGUCGACCUGACGGCGAAUAAUAACCAGAAAAACUCCAAUAUAUGUUACUGUAUUCAUGUGGUACUGUUAUUAUAGCUAAAGUUAGCCAUGACCUGCUCGGAUAAUCGCACACGGCUAGCAUUCCCAAGCGCAGAGCUAAAUUUACAGAAAGCCAUUAGCCGCUAGCGCACACCUGUCUCAAUCUGUAAUGCCUAGCAAACACGACGGAUCUCUUACUGCUAACAUCGGCACAUGCUAAUAUUACAGUAGGGCUUUUUGAUCCAGGGCUUCUAUAGCUACAGCCCAAAAAGCCCAUAAUGCUCUGAUAUAUGGCUCAGCAACCAUGCUAAUUCUGCUAGUCUACAAUGUGCUUGGGUACAGUGAUAUGUGGUUCGGGACGUAGCCCAUGAUAGUUUAACUGGAGCAGUUUGGAUUACUUGACUUCGGAAUAUUUCGACACAACACACAUUUAUGGAAAUAAUUGGAAAAUAAUUUGCAUUUGUUUAAUAAAUAUAUAUGUAAAAAAAGAGCUUAUAAUAUAAUUAAAGAAUACUGUAAUGAAGAGAAGGGAUUUUAUAACCAACACUUUUUUUUUUAAUCAGGUGAAGUACAGAAUUAAAAAAAAAUUAAAAUAAAUAAAUAAAUAGAUAAAUAAAAAGGUCCUAAAACGGAGCCUAGAGGAAUGCCGACUGCCUUUUCUACACAUCCGACAAUACAAAUUAUAUACAGUUUAACCAAUUACACUACAGGAGUGAAUUUCAUUUAACACAAAAAAAAAAUGUAAAGAAGAAAUGGAGCUGUUAUUAGAAUAGAAUUAAAUAAUCUGAAUUAAUUCGAAUGAUUUUUUUUUGGAUUGCAAAUAGAAGCUGUGGCAAACAAAGGCAAAGUGUAAGUGCAGAGAAUUUCCACUGCCUGACCUAUUUCGGACUAGUUUCAGGUGCGUUUGUGAGGCUGAUGCAGUUGGGAGGAGAUCUGGCAACCCUGUCCCGGAUCCCUCGGAGGGAUUUUAAAUGGGUCGCCUUUUCAUUUUAUCGGCGUCAGCCUCUUCGGCCUGUCGUCGCUCGUUUAGCCUUGGCUACAUCCCACAAUCGAUGGUACUCAACACCACAGAGAGGUGAAUUUGAGAUUAAGGCGUGGUGUCAGUACGAGGCAGAAGAUACACUUGGUGUCAGCAUCAAUGUAAACUUCAAACCGGGGCUGGUGGAAUAUGAGGAUAAUACGGAUAUCAUGAAUAUAGCUGUUUUUUAAGCAGUAUUUUCAUGGCCAUGGUCGGUGUUUGAUGUUGCUUUAAUGGAGAAAGUUGGCCUUAGUAAGCAUUUCUAUAAAGACUUAUUUUUUGGUGGUAUUUUCAUUGAGAAUGUUGGGGUGUGAAGGCGUUUUAAUGAAGAACGUUGGUAUUUAUAGGCCUUUUAGAAAGAAUCUUGCUUAUUAGUGGCAUUUUCAUGGCCAUUGUUGGCGUUUCAUUUGGCUUUCAUGGAGAAUUCGGGUGUUUGAAGGUGUUUUAAUGAAGAAAGCUAGUGUUAGUAGGUCUUUUGUGAAGAACAUUGAUUUUUUUUCUUUCUUUUUCCCAUUGGCGUUAUUGGUGUACGAUGGUCUCAGUGGAGAAUAUUGGUGUAUGAAGGUGAUCUAACGGAGAAGGCCGGUGUUUAUUGGCGUCUUUAAAGAUGGUGACGGUGUUAAUGGAGAACGUCGGUGUUUGAAGGUGUUUUCGUGAAAAACAGCUGUUUCCUCGGCAUUUGUUGGUGAAAGUCCGUGUUAAAGAAGCUGGUUUUCUGAUGGUGGGUCUUACCAGGACUUUUACUUUUAAAUACUCGAGUACUAUUAUUUUUAUACUACCGGUCAUCCUCCCACUUAAUUGUGAUGAACAUUUUAACUGUGAAGCCACGUGGUGAAGAGUCGUGUAGUUAAAACGCUGCUCAGUAAGAACAGCUUAGAGCCAAAAGGGCAUUCAUUUCUGAAACACAAUCAUCAUCAUAAACACCAUUAUCCUAAUAAAUGUAAGUCUGCCGGAGUUUGAGCCGAAAACAAACAUCAGCUUCCGAGAGUAAUAGCUGGUAGGAGGCAGGAGAACAGAACGACUUUGUAAUUUGUAGGAAGUUGGCGUCGUUAGCGUGCUCGUCGUGUUCAGGCUGCUGAUUUUUACUGCCCUGCUGAGGACCACUCGCAGACAAUAAUUACCAAAUACUGCAGAGCGCUCCACAGCUCUGAAAAUAAGAUCACCCUGGUUCUUAUUUUUUUCAUUUUGCCUUUACAGCCCAUUAACUCCACACUCACACACUAAUUAGGAAGCCAUCACUACCAUUUUCACACUCGCUAGAAUUAAUCAGGAUCGAAACACUGCCCCGGUCCGAAAAAACGAACAAGUAAAUAAACAAACUUCUGAAGCAUAUAACGGGGGGGGCGGGGGGUUUAGAUGUGUGAAGUGUCUGAGCCACGGGAUGUGCCCUGAACAUGGAGGCUCCUGCUGUAGCUCGCUAUUCCUAACAAGAGGAAGAUAUGGAGUGAGUGAGAGUGACGUGCUCCAUUACAGACCCUCAACUCCGGCGUCUGGAUGAUGAUCACAGACUCCUCGGACUAAAGCAUUACUGUAUUUAUAUAUUAAAAAUAAUAAUUUCUUGAUGAGAGCCGGUGAUUUUCUCUCUGUAGAUCAUGAUCUAUUCAGUGGGUUCUCCUCGUCUAAACUUUGCCUAACAAUACAGAGCUAAAUACGAUUCGGUUAUUUUCAUAUUACUUUAAAAAAAAAAAAAAAAAACCCUAGGUACGGAUAAUGAGAUUUAUUAGCUUGUUUUUUUUAAAAAAAAAAAAAAAAAAAAAAAAAAAAAAAACCACAUAAGAAACAGCACAUCUCUUUCAUUAUAUUUUAUUUGAAGCUGGUCAUAUCAACGUGUCGCAGGACGGACUUUCCCCUUUAAAUUAAAUUCACAAUUUAUUCAGAACUCAUGCAAGGUAUUAAAAAAAUAAUAUCCUACACAUUCUCACAAAGCUUCAUGGGAAAAAAAAAAAAAAAAAAACCCCCGUGAGGAAGCGAGAAACGUCUGACGCCUCAGUCAGAAUCAGUGUGUUUACCCUUUAAGCCUAAUUCUCUGGAAACCCUGUAUAAUCCACACACUGACUUACAGUACAGAAGUGAACAUCUGACCAUAAAGCACAGGCGUGUGAAUGACGGCGUUCUGCUGGACAGCGGUGGUGUUUGAAGGGAAAACGGUGGUGAUAGCUGGCUUUUUAUAAAGAAGGGUUUUGUUUUUUAUUGGUGGCAUUUUCAUAGAAAACUGUAGAAGGUAUAUAGAGGUGGAGAAGGUGUAUAAAGAUGGAGAAGGUGUAUAGAGGAGAAGGUGUACAGAGGUGUAGAAGGGGUACAGAGGUGUAGAAGGUGUAUAAAGAUGGAGAAGGUGUAUAGAGGAGAAGGUGUACAGAGGUGUAGAAGGGGUACAGAGGUGUAGAAGGUGUAUAAAGAUGGAGAAGGUGUAUAGAGGAGAAGGUGUACAGAGGUGUAGAAGGGGUACAGAGGUGUAGAAGGGGUACAGAGGUGUAGAAGGUGUAUAGAGGAGAAGGUGUACAGAGGUGUAGAAGGGGUACAGAGGUGUAGAAGGUGUAUAAAGAUGGAGAAGGUGUAUAGAGGUGUAGAAGGUGUAUAGAGGUGGAGAAGGUAUACAGAGGUGGAGAAGGUAUAGAAGGGGUACAGAGGUGGAGAAGGUGUAUAGAGGAGGAGGUGUAUAGAGGAGGAGGUGUAUAGAGGAGGAGGUGUAUAGAGGAGAAGGUGUAUAGAGGAGGAGGUGUAUAGAGGAGAAGGUGUAUAGAGGAGGAGGUGUAUAGAGGAGGAGGUGUAUAGAGGAGGAGGUGUAUAGAGGAGGAGGUGUAUAGAGGUGGAGAAGGUAUAGACCAUGUAGAAGGUGUUUUGAUGGAGAAUGUUGCUGCUUGACGGUACAUGUCGGGGUAUUAUAGUGUUCUAAUGAAGAACAUUGGUUUUUCAUGAGGUUUUCAUGCUUGUUUUUGGUGAUCGAGGGUAUUUUAGUGGGUGUUUUAGAGGAAAAUGUCGGUGUUGGCCGUUUUUUAAAGAAUCUUAGUUUUAUCGUGUCAUUUUCCUGGAGAAUGCUGGUGCUUAAAGGCUUUUUAAAUGAAAACGCUGCUGCUAGUACGCCGUUUGUAAUGAUUUUGGUGAUAUUUUCAUUGGGGGCGUUGGUGUUUCCUGAACUUUCAUACCGAAUGUUGCCGUUUCGUAGUAUUUUCACGGCCGUUGUUGGUGUCUGAUGUUGGUUUAAUGGAGAAAGUCGGUGUUAAUAUGCCUUUUAUAAGAAUGUGGGUUUUUGGUGGUAUUUCCAUGGCGAUUGUUGGUGUUUUAAUGAAAGCGCUGGUGUUACUGAGUCUUUCUAUAAAGAAUGUUGAUCUCUGGUGACAUCUUCAGGGAGAACGUUGGCGUGUCGUUAUGUUUUAAUGGAGAAUGUCGGUAUUUGAAGGUGCUUUAAUGAAAAACGUCAGUGCGAGUAGGUCUUUUUCGUAAAUUGUAUUGUAUUUUCAUUGGAAUCGUUGGUGUAUCGAUGGCCUUCAGUGGAGAACGUUGGGGCUUGAAGCGAUUUUAACGAAGAAUGUUGUAGCUUUCAGAAAGAAUUAUGGUUUGUGGUGGUAUUUUGAAGGACGACGCAGGUGUCUGUCGGCCAUUUUAACUGUAAACGUUGGCGUUUGAUAUAGUUUUACUGGAGACUGUUGGUGUUUGAAGGUGUGCAGAUGAAAAAAACGUAGCUGGGCUUUGUUAAAGGAUUGGUCAGCGCCGGGUUUUAAAACGCGACCGAGAUUUCAGACCGUGAAACUACGGAAGUCAGUUUGACCUCAGAGUAUUUUUAUUUAGCUUUAACGUGCGCAGAGAUCCCAGUUUCCAAAAACGCUAAUCUGAUUGGAGAGUGUGAGAACAGCAGAGUUUCCGGCAACUAGCUUCUCCAACCGGCAAACGUCUGAGAAGACGACCUAGAACAAAAUAAAAUUAACAAAACAAAAGAAAUAUAAAUUUUCGCUUCUCCACGCAUGCAUUACUCUAUGACUCUAAAGACAUCAAGAGUCGACACAUGAGAAUCCCCGAGGAAUCUAGCCACAAGUAAAUGCUAUAAAUUAGCACAAAGCCC